AGGGCACCACCAGGAGUGGAGCCUGCGGCUUAAUUUGACUCAACACGGGAAAACUCACCCGGCCCGGACACUGGAAGGAUUGACAGAUUGAGAGCUCUUUCUUGAUUCAGUGGGUGGUGGUGCAUGGCCGUUCUUAGUUGGUGGAGUGAUUUGUCUGGUUAAUUCCGAUAACGAACGAGACUCUAGCCUACUAAAUAGAUCGUCGGCUUACAAACGCCGACGAGACUUCUUAGAGGGACGGGCGGUGAUUCAACCGCACGAAACAGAGCAAUAACAGGUCUGUGAUGCCCUUAGAUGUCCGGGGCCGCACGCGCGCUACACUGAAGUGAUCAGCGUGCUUUUGUCAACCUACUCUGUCAAGAGUGGGGAACCCAAUGAACCUUCUUCGUGAUUGGGAUAGGGGAUUGUAAUUAUUCCCCUUGAACGAGGAAUUCCCAGUAAGCGCGAGUCAUAAGCUCGCGUUGAUUACGUCCCUGCCCUUUGUACACACCGCCCGUCGCUACUACCGAUUGAAUGUUU
rnacentral:rRNA from 1 species